UUCCUCGAUAGCUCAAUGGUAGAGCACUCGGCUGUUAACCGAGGGGUUGUUGGUUCGAGCCCAACUCGGGGAGU
rnacentral:tRNA from 1 species